AAGCGAGAAGCAAAAAUUGCAAUCAGUUUCGACCUGAUCUUAGAUAAAAUGUUUAUCCUUGCUUU
rnacentral:tRNA from 1 species